AAAUUAGUUAAAUAAAAGUGAAUCUAAUCAGUAAUUAAUUUAUGUACUGUUGUCUUUUAAAAUACUAAAUUUUUUCAUUAUGUGUGAUCUGUAAAUUUUAAUAAGCUUUUCUAUAGUUAUCACUAAUUUGUCUCUAUUAGUUUGGUAAACAGUAUAAUUUUUUUUUUUUUUUUAGUUUUCAUGUAACAAACACUUUUGGAUUAUUUAUAUGUAGUAUAAGGAGAUGAAAGCAAGAAUCAGUUAAUGGUUUUUAUAAUAUUUCAAAAUUUGCUCUAUUGGUUGCAUAGAGAAAGACAGAGAUAAUAUUUUAAAAGAAUUGUGAAGUGUGUUUGUGGAGAUUCGUAUUUAUUAAUUUCAAGUAGUUUUCAUAUCUUUUCCCAAUUAUAUUUUGAUAAAAUUUCAUAAUGUUUCCAAUAUGUAAUUGCUUUUUCCUGAUGUCUUGAAAAAAAAAUGUCAUAUUGCAUAUGAAUAUUAAAUAAAGAACAAUGUAUGGACAUAUAUUGAAUGCAAACUGUUAAUUUUAAUUUCUUAAAGAUACUGUGAGUAUAAUAUGUUGAUAAUUGAUAAAUAUACAUUAGUUUCAUAUGAAGCUGAAAUGUGUAUUUGUUAAUCAAAUACCUUUGGCUUUUAGUUAUUGUAUUUAAUAAAAAGUUUUUUAAUAAGACUAGUUAAAUAAAAAUAUCAUCAUUCGAAGUUGAUUAAAUUUUUCUUUAGUGUGAAAGGAUAUGUGAUUUAUUAUUCUUUUUUAAGAGGAAACGUAAACUCAAUAAAUAUGAAAAUUUUGAGAUUUGCUGCUAGCUCAUAGCACAGGCAACAAAGAUAGGCCCCUAAGGUAGCCAUUUUCAGAAGAUGCCAGACAAGAUAUUCUCACAAGUGACAUUAAAUAAAGCGUUUUUCUGCAUUUAUUUACGUUUAAUUUAUACUCGAUGUCAACUAUAAUCAUCACCUUGGGUAUUGAAAAUGUUGGUCCCAGACCUGUUAAUAUUCAAAUGCCAUAUUGUUUUGAAUAUAAGAUAAUCAUCCCCCUGCUUAAUAUGCCGUUCUGAAAACUAUACUCAUUUUACCGACAAAAUUUUUAAAAAUAUGAAAAUAAAUUUUUCACUUAUCUCUUAUGUUUAAAAGAAAAUGCAUUUUAGUGAUGUUUUGACCAUGUAAUUUUUUUAAUUUGUAACUAUAUUUCUUGUGUAACAUCUUCAGCAUAUCAAACUUAUCUAUGUGAAACUAUCUUCGUACAGUGCAUUUUUUAUUUGUUAAAUGUUUUUAAAAAUUCACGAUUGUCUUACGCAGCAGAUUACCUUAUAUUCUGUAUCUUAUAAUAAGCUCCUUCAUUACUAUGUAAUGCUUUAUUCAUGCUUUCAGUUUAAUGUCAGUCUAAGUAUUUAUUUAAUACUUUGAAAAUAUGUCAUUAUAAAUUUCGUCUUUAGGUGCUGAAAUUUUUGCUAUUGAAAAACAGAUGUUCACAAGUUACACUCCUAGAGGGAAAAAGAAGAUAUCACAAGGGUGUCGAUUUUCAUGCAUAUUUUGUCCUUAUUCAACAAAUAAUAUCGGACACAUGAAGUAUCAUAAAUUAACUCAUACUGGUGAGCGUCCGUAUAGAUGUCCAGUAUGUAGCCAAAGAUUUUCACUCAAGAGUAAUAUGCAAAGGCAUCUGCUAAGACAUAAUGAGAUAUCUUAUGGUGAAUUCAUUUGCCAUAUCUGUUCCAUUCGAUUUGCAUCCAAAUUAGGAUUGGCUAAGCAUUAUAAAUGCCAUAUUAUUGAAUGAAGAUCUAUUGAACCAUGAUAGUAAGCAUUACAUCUGAAAGAACUUGGACAUAUAUAUAUAUAUAUACCAGUUAUUAAUUGAGAAAUUACUGACUCAAGACAGCCAGGUUUGCUUUGUCUAUCAACCAGAACAAAAGUGUGGUCGGCAGCAUUAUUGCACUGUGUGUCCAUAUACAACCAAAUACAAAUCUCACUUGAAUGAUCACAUUCGAAAACACACUGGAGAACGACCAUUUGUGUGCUCUGUUUGUAAAAAAGCAUUUUCAAGCAAGAGCUAUUUAACAAAACAUAAAAUGAUACAGCAUUCUGAAAAUAAAAAUUUAUUACAUUGGUGUUAA